UCAGCGGCAGACGGGUGAGUAACACGUAGAUGACGUACCCUCAAGACGGGAUAACGGAUGGAAACAUGCGCUAAUACCGGAUGACCUUACGAUGUCAGAAUGGUAAGGAAAGCUACGGCGCUUGAGGAGCGGUCUGCGGCCCAUCAGCUAGUUGGUAGGGUAAAGGCCUACCAAGGCGAAGACGGGUAGGGGGUGUGAGAGCACGGCCCCCCACAAUGGGACUGAGACACGGCCCAUACUCCUACGGGAGGCAGCAGCAGGGAAUAUUGCACAAUGGACGGAAGUCUGAUGCAGCGACGCCGCGUGAGUGACGAAGGCCUACGGGUUGUAAAACUACUUUAGAGGGGGAACAGCGACGACGGUAACCCUGGAAUAAGCGAUCGGCUAACUACGUGCCACCAGCCGCGGUAAAGACGUACGACGCGAGCGUUAUCCGGACUUAACUGGGGCGUAAAAGCGUCUGUAGACGGAUGUGUAAGUUGGGCGUGAAGCUCCGGGCUUAACCCGGAGAGGCCGUUCAAUACUGCAUAACUUGAGGGUGUCAGAGGGGAACGGAAUUCCCGGUGUAGCGGUAAAAUGCGCAGAGAUCGGGAGGAACACCAGUGUCGGAGGCGGUUCCCUGGGGCACACCUGACGCUGAGAGACGAAAGCUAGGGGAGCGAACAGGAUUAGAGACCCUGGUAGUCCUAGCCCUAAACGAUGAAUGCUAGGUGUGGGAUCGAAUGGUUCCGUGCCGGAGCGAACGCGAUAAGCAUUCCGCCUGGGGAGUACGGCCGCAAGGUUAAAACUCAAACGAAUUGACGGGGCCCCGCACAAGCAGCGGAGCGUGUGGUUUAAUUCGAUGCUACACGAAGAACCUUACCUGGGUUUGACAUGUAGGUGGUAGUGAAUCGAAAGGUGAACGACCCUUCGGGGAGCCUACACAGGUGCUGCAUGGCUGUCGUCAGCUCGUGCCGUGAGGUGUCGGGUUAAGUCCCGUAACGAGCGCAACCCUUGCUCCUAGUUACAAGUGUCUAGGGGGACUGCCGGCGGAAAGCCGGAGGAAGGUGGGGAUGACGUCAAGUCAGCAUGGCCCUUAUAUCCAGGGCUACACACACGCUACAAUGGUCGGUACAAAGGGCAGCGAAACCGCGAGGCGGAGCGAAUCCGAGAAAAGCCGAUCGUAGUUCGGAUAGCAGGCUGCAACCCGCCUGCUUGAAGCUGGAGUUGCUAGUAACCGCGCGUCAGCCAUAGCGCGGUGAAUACGUUCCCGGGGCUUGUACACACCGCCCGUCACGUCAUGGGAGUCGGUAACGCCUGAAGCCGGUAGUCUAACUGGAAACAGGAGACGCUGUCGAGGGCGGGACU
rnacentral:rRNA from 1 species